rnacentral:rRNA from 1 species
UGAACGCUGGCGGCGUGCCUAAUACAUGCAAGUCGAGCGAACGGACGAGAAGCUUGCUUCUCUGAUGUUAGCGGCGGACGGGUGAGUAACACGUGGAUAACCUACCUAUAAGACUGGGAUAACUUCGGGAAACCGGAGCUAAUACCGGAUAAUAUUUUGAACCGCAUGGUUCAAAAGUGAAAGACGGUCUUGCUGUCACUUAUAGAUGGAUCCGCGCUGCAUUAGCUAGUUGGUAAGGUAACGGCUUACCAAGGCAACGAUGCAUAGCCGACCUGAGAGGGUUAUUGGCCACACUGGAACCUAGGCACGGUCCAGACUCCUAAGGGAGGCAGCAGUAGGGAAUCUUCCGCAAUGGGCGAAAGCCUGACGGAGCAACGCCGCGUGAGUGAUGAAGGUCUUCGGAUCGUAAAACUCUGUUAUUAGGGAAGAACAUAUGUGUAAGUAACCGUGCACAUCUUGACGGUACCUAAUCAGAAAGCCACGGCUAACUACGUG